AACAGGAGGAUGUCAGUUUUUGACCCCAACAGGAAGAUAUGAGUUACUGACUCCAAAAGGAAGAGGUCACUUACUGACCCUAACAGGAAGAGGUCCCCAAUAGGAAGAGACCUACCUUGCACUCCCCAACAGGAAGUGCAACUACUUUGCUGCUCCAGCAGGAGGAAGGAUGACUUCCUUCUUGCUCAGCAACAAGCUCAGCCAAUGAGAAGCCAUCAUCACCUGAGCAUUUACUUUCCCUCAAUGAACUUUCAUCUCUUCCUUGCUGAUGACUUCCUUUCCUUGUCUCACCCUCCGUACUAUAAAAACCUUUCAGGUGGUGUAACCCCUCAGAACAUCUCUCGGCUUGCCAGAUGAGAUGCUGCCCAAUUCAAGAAUCAGUUAACAGAACCAAUUAAAUCUUCAAAUUUACUCAGUUGAAUUUUGUUUCUUAACAUCUUACAUAUGAAGCAGUAUCAUAUUUGUUGGUGGACUCAGAUUAUUUUAACGUAUAUCGUGAGCUCUAGGGCAACUACCCAAAAAGGUUUUUUAAAAAAGAUUUAAUAGUAAGACAAUAGAAGAGAUAAAAUGGAAUAAUAAAAAAUGCUGAAUUAACCUGAAGAAGGCAGAAAAAGAAGGAAAAUAAAAAAAGAACAAAUGUGGCAAAUAUAAAACGGCUAGCAAGAUAACAGUUCUAAACACAUCAGUUAAAGACAGAUUGUCAGAAUGGAAGAAGCAGCGAUACACAACUAUAUGCUGUCUGUAAGGAGCCUGCGUGUACCCUUCUUGUCCCAUAAGAGGCUCCAUAUUUUCCUCCACCUGUCCCACAGGGGACACAUACAGCAGUGGGGGUGGCCAGGUGCCAUAUGACACACCUGCUUUAAUAGAACAAGGAGCAUUGGCUGCGUCUGAAACAGGGAAAGACAAGGUGACAAGUCCAGCACAGGCUGUGUGGCCCCUCAUCUCUCAGGGAGGAAGUGCUCCAGGCCCAUGGCCCACCCUCACGUGCCCGAGGAGGAGUCUGAAGUCAUCCUCUCCCAACAGCAUGUCCUCAGACCAUAGCGGAAUUAGACUUGAAAUCAAUAACGUGAAGAUACCCGACCUAGCUGGAAAUCGAACAACCGACCUCUAAACAACCCGUGCAUCCAAGAGGGAGUCUCAAUGGGAAAUGUAAAAAUAUUCUGAACUAAGGGAAAAUGAAAAUGCAUCGUAUCAGAAUCUGUGGGACACACCUAGGGAGCGCUGCUGGGACCUUCACAGCACUGACGCACGUGUCAGCAGAGAAAGACUCUGAUCGAUACGUAAACUUCUCCCCCAGGAAAACCAGGGAAAGAAGAGCUUUUGAUUAAAGCAAAUGCAAGCAGGAGGAGGGAAAUAAUGACUCGAGUAGAAACCGACGGAGUUGAAGACAGAAAAGUAGACAAUAUCAAUGAAGCCAAAGGCUGGUUCCAUGAACAAUCUGCACAGCUAGUGGACAUGUCGCCAGACUGACUGAGAGAAACGGAGAGAAGACACCAUGACCAGGCCCAGAAAUGAAAGCACGCCGUUGACGCUGAUCCACAGACAAUAGAAGGAGAGUAAGGAGACACUAUGAACAACUCUGUGCCCCUUAGAAAUCAGAUGAUGCUGCUCAGUGUCAGUGUGUUGUUGUCUUUCUUUGAAGAGUGUUGACGUUUGUCUCGGCAGCAGGUAAAUCUUGCAAACCAUUUGGACUUUUUACAGCUUGUUUUCUCGUCCUUGAUAGGGGACGUCUAGAGCUGCCUUCACCUCUGGGAUAAUCAGCCCUACUAAGGGAGGGUGACCCGGGCCUACCCUGGGUGCCCAGAACAGUCACCAUGUCUCCACGCUUGCUGGUCAGUCUCAAAUGGCUCUCAGUCCUGGUCGAGUCUGGCUCUUCAACUGACAACCUCACAGUCCUGCCCGGGUCCGCGUGUCUGUGGAGUCUCCCUCAUGGCAGGCACGGUCUACGCUCAGGAAGGACUCUGUGGCCCACUGUGUGUCCCUGCGGGUUCCCUUUUCCUGAAGCUGCUGCUUCUCUGGGACUCCUCCUUGCCACCACCACCGCCUGAUCCCCCUGAACUGAGUUCUCUCCCCAGAACUCGGGGCCAUCGGGCCCUUUCGAGGUUCCCUCCGGCACCCACAGCUCUCUGGCUCCAGGAAGACAGCUGGGGUGACACAGGGCUGCGCUCCAGUCCCCCUGCACUGCCUGUGGCCAUGACGGAGCUGUUUAGGGUGGGAGCUUUUGUCCCCUCAUUGUUACUCCAUUGUGACCAGAAGCAGAAGUCCAGUGGCUUCUUUUGAGGACCGAAAACCAUGAGUCUUCACUCUCUCUAAAUGGCUUUCUCCCUCAAUCCCUUUCACCUUAAAAGUUUGCAUUUCUAGAUUCUACAGGGAGUUUGAAACAUUACAAAUCUACUCAUCACGUCCACAUGACGGUUUGUGAAUUCUUUGAGCUUAAAAUAUUAAAAUCCAGUCGAUUUGAUAUUGAGGAAAAUGGACAAUUAGUCAAGACACUGUAUAAGCCAGUAGAUAUUUGUCCUAAAUCACAAAGACUGCUAACUGAUUUCGAGGCAAUAUGCCAGUAGUGGCAAAUGAUAGCCUGGAAUAGUGUUUUGUGUGUGUGUAUAGAAUGGAAAUUCAAUGAGUGUCUUAACGGUAACCUCUCCCAUGUACAAGAGAUUCACCAUUUCGUAUAUUCUCUUAAAGGCGGGGAACAGAUUCACGAUACGUUUGUCUUCAUGCUUUCCUCCCACCCCUUUCCCACUGAGAGGUCAGAGCAGUGACUGGAGAGACAACAGACUCAUUCUCCCCCCGAAAACCUGUCAGGUACCCCGUUGGCCCAGGAUCUGCACAGCUGCUUUAGGAUGCUGAGAGGGAUGUUUCCGAGGUGACUGUUUCAGCUGCCAUCUGCUCUGAGCUGUGGAGGCCGAAAUACCUGUCAAUAAAGCGACUUUGGGACUUUCUAUUACAAUCUAUUUGAAGCUUGGGAUCUUCAAGCACUUUUGUCUUAAGUGAAAAUAUUUAAACUCCCACUCGUCCUAAGACCCCAUCACCCCCACAGCUGCUACCUGCAGGUGAGGCUGGCUGUCCGAGAGUGGUGUCUGUGGGCUGCGCAAAGGAGGCUCUUUUCGUUUUCCGAGACGUGGAGGCUGCGACGCUGAGGCCUGGCGCGGGCAGGUGUCCGCUGUUGCCCAGAGGAGCGGUGACGGCGGGAGGCACCUUUUCUGCAGGAGGAGGCUGGGAUAGCGGACCAGCUGGAGAACGCAGGCAUGGCCACCAGGUGGCGCUGUUGCCUGGCAGAAGGAAGGUGGCGCGAGCGGCCGGGAUGGAGCUCCUCCGCGAGGACCGAGGAGAGAGGCAGGGCCCGCCAGGUGAGCGCCCACGGCAGCCCCAGGCCUGCUCCCUGGGAGGGCAGUCCCGGGAGAGAGAGUCACAGACACCGAGGGCAGCGUGUUCUCGGGGAGUGGCCGUUUGGUUUUUCCUUGAGGGAUAAAGCUGCCUUUGGCUGUGUCUGGACGCCCCCUUUAAGUCCAGGGAGACCAGAGACAACCGGACUCUUCUCCCCCAGUUCAUCGUUGGUGUUCUGUGUGCAGGACAUGGCAGCCCCAUCUCAGAAACAGCCCGCCCAGAACCUCCCUCCCCCCAAGGUGCCCUCGUUGUCCGAGUCAUGCGCAUGCCGCCUGUGGUGUCAGUGGAUAUCACAGACUGUCCCCCUUAACGUGCUCGCCCUGCCCUCAGGCACUAAUGGCCAGCCGGCCUCUAUCGCCAUGAACUUUGACCUCUGAGCUCCUGACUGGAGGCGCUGGGCCCUUCAGCGGGAAGAGCCUGACUGUGGGGGCCGGCGGGCUUGGACUGAGCACCCUGAGCAGGAUUCCCUGGUCUGCACGCCACGACCUGCGCCCCGAGGGCAGAUGUGCAUCGGCGGGAGCUGAGCCCAGGGCCUGAGGUCUCCCUCUGCUCCUCUUUGCUUUGUCCUGAGUCAAAUGGUCAGAUGGCCAGGAAGCUGCAAGCUGGGGCAUCGGGACCCUGUGUAACUCACAACUGGAAUUUCGCCUUCCUCUUCUGCCAAGAAACCCACACAAGUUCAGCUCUUUUGUCCUUUCCCGGGACAUUGGAGAAGUUAAUGCAUGAACACCCAAUAAAGGGAGCUCUUUGCGCCUCCAUCGCACACAGGACUCUGACCCCCUGGCCCCUCGCCCUGGCCGACACCGGACUCCCAUUUUGUCGUGUGACCACCGGCCUGCG
rnacentral:lncRNA from 1 species